rnacentral:rRNA from 1 species
CAGCCGCCGCGGGAAUACGGAGGGAGCUAGCGUUGUUCGGAAUUACUGGGCGUAAAGCGCACGUAGGCGGUUAUUCAAGUCAGAGGUGAAAGCCCGGGGCUCAACCCCGGAUCUGCCUUUGAAACUAGAUGACUAGAAUCUUGGAGAGGUCAGUGGAAUUCCGAGUGUAGAGGUGAAAUUCGUAGAUAUUCGGAAGAACACCAGUGGCGAAGGCGACUGACUGGACAAGUAUUGACGCUGAGGUGCGAAAGCGUGGGGAGCAAACAGGAUUAGAUACCCCCGUAGUCCCUGUCUCUUAUAC